AGCGAACGCUGGCGGCAGGCUUAACACAUGCAAGUCGAGCGGGCGUAGCAAUACGUCAGCGGCAGGCGGGUGAGUAACGCGUGGGAACAUACCUUUUGGUUCGGAACAACACAGGGAAACUUGUGCUAAUACCGGAUAAGCCCUUACGGGGAAGAUUUAUCGCCGAAAGAUUGGCCCGCGUCUGAUUAGCUAGUUGGUGAGGUAACGGCUCACCAAGGCGACGAUCAGUAGCUGGCUGAGAGGAUGAUCAGCCACAUUGGGACUGAGACACGGCCCAAACUCCUACGGGAGGCAGCAGUGGGGAAUAUUGGACAAUGGGCGCAAGCCUGAUCCAGCCAUGCCGCGUGAGUGAUGAAGGCCCUAGGGUUGUAAAGCUCUUUUGUGCGGGGAAGAUAAUGACGGUACCGCAAGAAUAAGCCCCGGCUAACUUCGUGCCAGCCGCCGCAGUAAG
rnacentral:rRNA from 1 species